rnacentral:rRNA from 1 species
UACGUAGGUGGCGAGCGUUAUCCGGAAUUAUUGGGCGUAAAGAGCGCGCAGGUGGUUGAUUAAGUCUGAUGUGAAAGCCCACGGCUUAACCGUGGAGGGUCAUUGGAAACUGGUCGACUUGAGUGCAGAAGAGGGAAGUGGAAUUCCAUGUGUAGCGGUGAAAUGCGUAGAGAUAUGGAGGAACACCAGUGGCGAAGGCGGUUUCCUGGUCUGUAACUGACACUGAGGCGCGAAAGCGUGGGGAGCAAACAGGAUUAGAUACCCCGGUAGU